rnacentral:rRNA from 2 species
UAAGGUGAUUAUAGCGAUGGGGCUCACCUCUUACCAUUCCGAACAGAGAAGUUAAGCCCAUUAGCGCCGAUGGUACUACAUUGUGGGAGAGUAGGUCGUCGCCUUUU